GCUGUGGCUCAAUGAAUAAAGCAUCUGUUUCACAUGCAGAAGGUCGUAAGUUCAAUCCCUGGUUUCUGCU
rnacentral:tRNA from 1 species